rnacentral:rRNA from 1 species
CCUACGGGAGGCAGCAGUGAGGAAUAUUGGUCAAUGGACGAGAGUCUGAACCAGCCAAGUAGCGUGAAGGAUGACUGCCCUAUGGGUUGUAAACUUCUUUUAUAUGGGAAUAAAAUGUUCCACGUGUGGGAUUUUGUAUGUACCAUAUGAAUAAGGAUCGGCUAACUCCGUGCCAGCAGCCGCGGUAAUACGGAGGAUCCGAGCGUUAUCCGGAUUUAGUGGGGUUAAAGGGAGCGUAGGUGGAUUGUUAAGUCAGUUGUGAAAGUUUGCGGCUCAACCGUAAAAUUGCAGUUGAAACUGGCAGUCUUGAGUACAGUAGAGGUGGGCGGAAUUCGUGGUGUAGUGGUGAAAUGCUUAGAUAUCACGAAGAACUCCGAUUGCGAAGGCAGCUCACUGGACUGCAACUGACACUGAGGCUCGAAAGUGUGGGUAUCAAACAGGAUUAGAUACCCCUGUAGUC